CUGGUUGAUCCUGCCAGUAGUCUUAUCCUUGCCCCAAAAAUUAACCCUGGCUGGUCUAAUUAUAAAAAAUCUUACAGUGAAAAAGCGCAAACGUCUCAAUAUCUCUUCUAUUUUUUUUUUGAUGCCUUCUUACUACGUGUAUACCUGUGGUAUCUCUAGAUCAAACAUAUGCAUAUUCCCCACAGUCUCACGGGGAAGGAUGUGUUUUUUAUAUAUCCAACCAAUGCGGUUCACCCCAGUUUUGGGGGGAAUCUAAUAACCGUUUCAAAUCCAUGACCUUCUGCCUGCCAAGAUUUCUUUCAAUUUCCGGCCCAACCACUUUUCAAGGGAAGGGAAUGGCACAACCUGGGCGUUAACGGUAGACGAAAAAUUAGGUUUCAUUCCCGAGAAGGAAGCUGGAAAAACGCUACCACAUCCCAAGGAAGGCACCAGGGCGUAAAUUUACCCAUCCUGGACACAGGAGGGUAUGGACAUAAAUAAUCAUAAGCUGGCUUUGGAUACACAAUUGAAUGGAGUGAGUACUAUCACUCUGCAUUAAGAUCGAUCGAAUGGAGGGUCUGUCAGGC
rnacentral:rRNA from 1 species